rnacentral:rRNA from 1 species
UACGUAGGGGGCAAGCGUUGUCCGGAUUUAUUGGGCGUAAAGAGCGUGUAGGCGGCCGUACAGGUCAGCUGUGAAAACUCGAGGCUCAACCUCGAGACGUCGGUUGAAACCGUACGGCUAGAGUCCGGAAGAGGAGAGUGGAAGUUCCCGGUGUAGCGGUGAAAUGCGCAGAUAUCGGGAAGAACACCCGUGGCGAAGGCGGCUCUCUGGGACGGUACUGACGCGUGAGACGCGAAAGCGUGGGGAGCGAACAGG